CUGUGUGUGGGACUCGUCGAGC
rnacentral:siRNA from 1 species